rnacentral:rRNA from 1 species
AUGCAUAUGAAACUGCACUAUAUAGACAAAAGGUGGACGACUGCAAAUCCAGUGGCCGUUACUUCGUUGUGGACAUGGGAGUCGUCUGAAUUUUGUCGUCCAUAUAGCAAUGUUCCUACGCAUAUCCUGUCAAGUAAAAAAAUUCAUGAAAAUAUGAGGUGGGCCGUGGGCAUCAAUCUUUCGCAGGUUCAGGGUUGA